rnacentral:snRNA from 1 species
AAUAUCUGAAACGCGACUCACCGAGUCGCUUGUAUAUUAAACUGAUUUUUGAACCUAGGCCAUGGAAUAGGGGCUUGCUCCGUCCUGGCCACGGGUUGGCCCGGUAUUGCAGUACUUCCGGGAUCGGCCCACCCCUC